CGGGGCGUAGCGCAGCUGGCUAGCGCACCUGGUUUGGGACCAGGGGGUCGACAGUUCAAAUCUGUCCGCCCCGACCA
rnacentral:tRNA from 1 species